GCCUAGCUUGCUAGGUGGAUUAGUGGCGCACGGGUGAGUAAUAUAUAGAUAACGUGCCUCUUAGUCUGGGAUAGCCAUUGGAAACGAUGAUUAAUACUAGAUAUUCCUUCUAACAAUAAUGUUAGUCGGGAAAGUUUUUCGCUAAGAGAUCGGUCUAUAUCCCAUCAGCUAGUUGGUAGUGUAAGAGACUACCAAGGCAAUGACGGGUAGCGGGUUUGAGAGGAUGAUCCGCCACACUGGUACUGAGACACGGACCAGACUCCUACGGGAGGCAGCAGUGAGGAAUAUUGCACAAUGGAGGAAACUCUGAUGCAGCAACGCCGCGUGGAGGAUGACGCAUUUCGGUGUGUAAACUCCUUUUAUAUGUCAAGAAAAUGACGGUAGCAUAUGAAUAAGCACCGGCUAACUCCGUGCCAGCAGCCGCGGUAAUACGGAGGGUGCAAGCGUUAUUCGGAAUCACUGGGCGUAAAGGACGCGUAGGCGGGAUGCCAAGUCUGAUGUGAAAUCCUAUGGCUUAACCAU
rnacentral:rRNA from 1 species